rnacentral:rRNA from 1 species
CGGAGGGGCUAGCGUUGUUCGGAAUUACUGGGCGUAAAGCGCACGUAGGCGGACCAGCAAGUUAGGGGUGAAAUCCCGGGGCUCAACCCCGGAACUGCCCUUAAAACUGCUGAUCUGGAGUUCGAGAGAGGUGAGUGGAAUUCCGAGUGUAGAGGUGAAAUUCGUAGAUAUUCGGAGGAACACCAGUGGCGAAGGCGGCUCACUGGCUCGAUACUGACGCUGAGGUGCGAAAAGCGUGGGGAGCAAACAGGAUU